rnacentral:ncRNA from 1 species
AAUAGAGGCGCGGCCGACAUGAGGUAGCUCCGGGAGUCCAGCCGGGACGUUGAGCGGAGUGAGAAGGGGAAGCCGCCGAAAUGCGCAGGUUCCGGCAGAACCGCGUGUUGGGCAGACGGAGAAGAUCCGCCUGACUGUCAUGGCACAGGCCAUGGAGCGCUAUUCG